rnacentral:rRNA from 1 species
UGGGGAAUAUUGGACAAUGGGGGCAACCCUGAUCCAGCCAUGCCGCGUGUGUGAAGAAGGCCUUUUGGUUGUAAAGCACUUUAAGCAGUGAAGAAGACUCCAUGGUUAAUACCCAUGGACGAUGACAUUAGCUGCAGAAUAAGCACCGGCUAACUCUGUGCCAGCAGCCGCGGUAAUACAGAGGGUGCAAGCGUUAAUCGGAAUUACUGGGCGUAAAGCGAGCGUAGGUGGCUUGAUAAGUCAGAUGUGAAAGCCCCUGGCUUAACCUGGGAACGGCAUCUGAUACUGUUAUGCUAGAGUAGGUGAGAGGAAGGUAGAAUUCCAGGUGUAGCGGUGAAAUGCGUAGAGAUCUGGAGGAAUACCGAUGGCGAAGGCAGCCUUCUGGCAUCAUACUGACACUGAGGUUCGAAAGCGUGGGUAGCAAACA